AUGAACGCUAGCUACAGGCUUAACACAUGCAAGUCGAGGGGAAACGAUAUUGGAAGCUUGCUUCCGAUAGGCGUCGACCGGCGCACGGGUGAGUAACGCGUAUCCAACCUGCCCAUCACUUGGGAAUAACCUUGCGAAAGUAAGACUAAUGCCCAAUGACAUUUAUAGAAGGCAUCUGAAAUGAAUUAAAGAUUUAUCGGUGAUGGAUGGGGAUGCGUCUGAUUAGCUUGUUGGCGGGGUAACGGCCCACCAAGGCGACGAUCAGUAGGGGUUCUGAGAGGAAGGUCCCCCACAUUGGAACUGAGACACGGUCCAAACUCCUACGGGAGGCAGCAGUGAGGAAUAUUGGUCAAUGGGCGAGAGCCUGAACCAGCCAAGUAGCGUGCAGGAUGACGGCCCUAUGGGUUGUAAACUGCUUUUAUAGGGGAAUAAAGUGAGCCACGUGUGGUUUUUUGCAUGUACCCUAUGAAUAAGGACCGGCUAAUUCCGUGCCAGCAGCCGCGGUAAUACGGAAGGUCCGGGCGUUAUCCGGAUUUAUUGGGUUUAAAGGGAGCGUAGGCCGGAGAUUAAGCGUGUUGUGAAAUGUAGAUGCUCAACAUCUGCACUGCAGCGCGAACUGGUUUCCUUGAGUACGCAUAAAGUGGGCGGAAUUCGUGGUGUAGCGGUGAAAUGCUUAGAUAUCACGAAGAACUCCGAUUGCGAAGGCAGCUCACUGGGGCGCAACUGACGCUGAAGCUCGAAAGCGCGGGUAUCGAACAGGAUUAGAUACCCUGGUAGUCCGCGCGGUAAACGAUGGAUGCCCGCUGUUGGGCCAACUGGUUCAGCGGCCAAGCGAAAGCAUUAAGCAUCCCACCUGGGGAGUACGCCGGCAACGGUGAAACUCAAAGGAAUUGACGGGGGCCCGCACAAGCGGUGGAGUAUGUGGCUUAAUUCGAUGCAACGCGAAGAACCUUACCUGGGCUUGACAUGUAAUGAACAACAUGUGAAAGCAUGCGACUCUUCGGAGGCGUUACACAGGUGCUGCAUGGCCGUCGUCAGCUCGUGUCGUGAGAUGUUGGGUUAAGUCCCGCAACGAGCGCAACCCUUAUGGUCAGUUACUACGCAAGAGGACUCUGGCCAGACUGCCGUUGACAAAACGGAGGAAGGUGGGGAUGACGUCAAAUCAGCACGGCCCUUACGUCCGGGGCUACACACGUGUUACAAUGGCAGGUACAGAGAGCCGGUCGUAUGCAAAUACGAUCCAAUCCUUAAAGCCUGUCUCAGUUCGGACUGGGGUCUGCAACCCGACCCCACGAAGCUGGAUUCGCUAGUAAUCGCGCAUCAGCCAUGGCGCGGUGAAUACGUUCCCGGGCCUUGUACACACCGCCCGUCAAGCCAUGAAAGCCGGGGGCGCCUGAAGUCCGUGACCGCAAGGAGCGGCCUAGGGGAAACUGGUAAUUGGGGCU
rnacentral:rRNA from 1 species